GCUAGGUUGGCAGAAGCUGGGACAAGUAACAGGAACUCACUCAGUUACGCAGUGCUAGGGAUUUGAACUGCCAAACUGCUGACCUUUCUGAUCGACAAGCACAGUGUCUUAGCCACUCAGCCUCUGGGUUGAUACCAUUGCA